GUUGGUUAAAGAGGGAAGAAAAAAUUAAUAAAAAUAAAAAUAAAACUCUGGCUAUUAUGGUAAAGGAAGCUCAUGUAACAUAAACACCUGUAUGUGUGUGUGUGUCUGCCACAAAGAAUGCCUUCCAAGAUGCAAAAAAGAGCCAAUGGCCAAAGCCCACACACCAGCCACAACACUUAAUAGACACUUGAAUGGGGCAAUUAAGGUAAAGGAAGCUCUAGUAACAAAGACACCUGUGUGUGUGUGUAGAGGCAAAAAAGGAUACCCUAUCUGCCACAAAGAAUGCCUUCCAGGAUGCAAAAAAGAACCAACAAUUGCCAAAGCACACACACCAGCCACAAUACUUAAUAAACCACCCACUAACACUUCUCCCAGCCACAAGACCUUCCCAACUGACCCACACCACAGACCAGAAAGCAAUUCCUUUACAAGACUUGCUGGAACUAUCUACCCACAUUUGAAAAA